rnacentral:rRNA from 1 species
CCUACGGGAGGCAUCAGUAAGGAAUAUUGGACAAUGGCCGCAAGGCUGAUCCAGCCAUGCCGCGUGCAGGAAGAAGGCCCUAUGGGUCGUAAACUGCUUUUGAACCAGAGAAAACCCCACUACGUGUAGUGGGCUGAUAGUAUGGUUAGAAUAAGCAUCGGCUAACUUCGUGCCAGCAGCCGCGGUAAGACGAAGGAUGCAAGCGUUAUCCGGAUUCAUUGGGUUUAAAGGGAGCGUAGGCGGACUUGUAAGUCAGUGGUGAAAUCUGUGGGCUUAACCCACAAACUGCCAUUGAUACUGCAGGUCUAGAGUACAGUUGCCGUUGGCGGAAUAUGACAUGUAGUGGUGAAAUACUUAGAUAUGUCAUAGAACACCGAUUGCGAAGGCAGCUAACGAAGCUGUAACUGACGCUGAGGCUCGAAAGUGCGGGGAUCAAACAGGAUUAGAUACCCUGGUAGUCCGCACUGUAAACGAUGAUUACUCGUUGCUGGAAAGCAAUUUUCAGUGACCAAGCGAAAGCGAUAAGUAAUCCACCUGGGGAGUUACGCCGGCAACGGUGAAACUUCAAAUGAAUUGACGG